AGCAGAGGAAUGAAGUGAAUGGGCUUGUUUUGAAAGGAUUCUAUUUCACUUAUUGGUUGCUCAUGGCUUAGAACAACAGUGACUUGUUAUUCCCCCCAGUCCUGUGGGUUGACUGGGCCAUUCUUUGCUGGUUCCACCUGAGCUCAUUCAGAGAUGGACUGGCCUCAGCUGGGAUGCCUGGCCCUCUCUUUCCAUGAGGCCUUUCAUCCUCAAGGAGGCUACACCUGGUUGGGCUUCCUUCUAAGAUGGUGGCAGCAUUUCUGGAGAGCACACACUUAUUAAGCUUCUGCUUGCCUCAAUGUGCUAAGUCACAUUGCCAAACCCAGAGUCAAGGUGGGACUGUAUGUGGGUGUGGAUAUCAGAAGACGUGGUUUAUUAGGGGCAGUUAAUGUAACAAGCUACCACUCUGGCUGCUCUCUUGAGAAGAGACUUGAUGAAACGAAUGGCAGAGCAAGGAGGCCAAUUAAAGGGCUAUAUAGUAAUCCAGGUGGAACCUAAGCAGUUUGAUGAUGGACAGUGCAUGAGAUGUGGAAGAGAGGGGAGUUAAGGAGGACCCCCGGAUGUUUGCCUCCAGCACGGAGUUGCUAUAUACUGAGAAGGCUCCAUCCUCCGGAUUUAACAGGGCUCCCUUGGCCAUACAUAGUAUGUAUUUCACAUCCUCUCAAUCUGUUGCGAUGUUUUACCGCGUGCAUUUCACGGCGGAUCCUGAUUGUAAAUGGGUUGUAGAAACUUCAUUGGCUUCCUGUUUGUGACAUUUCUGAUGGAUGGUCCCUAUUUAUAGAGAACAGCGUGGCGUGUGCAAAGUUACACGGCUCCACGCCAUGCUUAAUGGAUUGGAAGGAGAGAGCUGGCGCUCCCACUGUGAAGAGAAUCAUCUGCUUCCUUUUCGUGCAGCAGUCAGAAAUGGCCGGUGAUGGAACCCAGGCUGUGAAAGGCCUGUGAGGCUGAGUCCAGUCCUGGCUCUUCCACACAGCUUCUGGGUUCCUGCAGAACUCAGUCCCAGGAAUAAUGCGGGGGCUUGCAGUGUUAAGGGCAUGGCUGCUGGGGUACACCAACAGAUGUGGAGCCCGCCCUGGGUCAUUUGGCGGUGUGUGUCCAGGGAAAAAAAAGAAAAACUCAGGGAGGAGGGUCAUCUGUAAGUCAUUGACUGAGGUUUAGAGACUGUGGCUUAUUCAUUCCUAACCCUAACGUCUAGUCCAAUGACUGGCACAUAUUGCUGAAUACAUGCUUAUUGACUGACUGCAUGAAUCUUACCUAAGGGAAUAGUGAUGCAGGAAUAUGAUGUAGGAAGAUGGCCUUGCAGGAGAAUGACCUUGAACAGAGGCUGACUUUGGCCUCAUCCCAUAUUCAGAUUCUUCUACGUGAGCCAACUGAUGAAGAUUGAAAAAUUCCACACAAUUGAUUAUCUGGAGCCAGGAAGAGGAGACAAAUGAUGCUUUGACUGAAUUCUGCAAGAUCUUUUAAAAUUAAUUCAGUUGCCAGUGGUUUGUGUGUGUAACUGCCAUCUUGGACCCAUGGGGACCAUUCUGAGCCCUAGAUCCAGGCUUUCAGAAGGUGUUUUGAGGAUUAAAGGAGUUCAUGUAUGUAAAGCAGGAUGCUCAGCACUGGACUCAUAGUUCUGCCACCUGUGUUAAUUCUCAUCAAAUAUCUAAGUGAAAAAUAUGCUAGGGGGAAUGGAUUGACAUGUGAAAGUGUAGACAUUGGGCUAUUGAGUAAGAGUUUCACAGAGAUGCUAUAAGGGCAUAGAGGUUAAGGAAGAAACCCUCACAGAUGGUAAGCUCCCCAGCUCUGGAAGUGUUGCUGAAGAAAGCAUGGAGAAGAUUCAGAUAUCAGAUUGGGAGUUGGAUAGAUGACUUUUCAGGUUACUGAUCAACUGGUGAUUUUCUGAUUUUAAAAGAAAACUUUUGCACGUUAACCAGUAUUUUAGUCAUUUCGUGUAUAGAAGCUAUUUUUAUUAACUUUUUCUGCUGAUGAGACAUUUUGUGGAGAAUGAAUCAGCUACUUGUGCGAAUAUGCCAUUUAUUUGGAAGACGUCACACAAAUUUGCUCUGUUCUUUAUUUUUAAGAAUUUUCUAUCUAAAAAAUUUUUUCCUUAUUAAAUCAGGAAAAUUUUGUUAGUUUCUGGUUAAAGUUCUCCUAACAUAAUUAAGCAAUGCAUUAAAUGCAGCAAUAUUGACACAGUCAUCCAAUCUGUAUUUGCUGAACGUCUACUAUCAACCAGCCAGUGUGCCGCCCCUCUUCUUGCUUACAGUAUUCUGGGGACAUGAUAAUUAAUACAAUUGUUCUUGAUGUUAUUAUGCACAGAAUCAUCAGAGUUGCUUGAUAAAAAGGAUUGUCAAGCUCCUCCACCAGUUCUGAUUCAGUAAGUCUGAGUGGGGCCGAAGAUAUGUUAUUACAAAUAGCCUGGAUGACUCCGAGGUGGGAGGGCCAUCACAGACCGCAGAGUGAGAGAUGCUGGGGUAGAGGAAAUAUCAAGCUAACUGGAGUCCGAUGGCUCAGUUCUAAUCUGGGCUCUGCCACUUACCAGUUAUAUGACCUGUUUUAUAAUCAACCUCUCCCAUCUAGUAUGUGCUCCAGAAAUAUUUGUUGGGUCAAUGAGCUUACCUCUGUUUCCUUAUCUUUAAUGUCAAGAUUUUUUUAAAAACCCACCUUCCCUGAAUGUUACGAGUCCUAAAUGAAGUAGGGGAUAAAAUGCACCUUGACAUGUAUUUGUGGCUCAAGAAAGGUGACUCCUCUGUUUGCUGCAAGUUGAUUUCAUAGGUAUGUUGUGUUUGGAGCCAGAAAUAAUAGAGGAUUUCUGGCAUUAAUCAGAGUCAGAGAAGCUGUGCUUAGCUCUUUGCCUUUUGAGAUGGUCAAAGAUGACCUUUGUUACACAGACACAUCAAUAAUGUCCAUUAUAGCCUUGAAGCAAGUGACGCAUCACAAUUAAAGCCACAGAAACCACCAUCUCUGUAAUAACAUAAGUUGUUCAGUGUGAAGAUUAUUCUUGGUAGAGUGGAUGUAAGAAUUGCCUCAUUGCCCCCGCUGUAGGUUGUAUUUAUGACUUUUAGGCCAAGGUUUUAUUUCUCUGUAAAAAUCUCAUAUAUUUAACAAAUUAGGAUUUGUCGAGUAACUGAUUGGGCAAUAAAACUACUUCCACUAUUAAUGGUAACACACAUUCUGGAGAUACGAACAAAGACCUGCUGGCUAUAGUUUAAGAUUAAGAUAAAUUUUUUACAACGGGCAAUUGGAAAAUAUACAAUUGUAAGUAAAGUAUAUUACUUUGAACUUCUCAGAGCAAAGAUAUUCUGCAAAUGUGAAGUAUAAAUAUUUGAAAAUGUUGUUAUGAUACAAAAAGCCUCUGGUGGAAGCUCUCUAGUGUUGUGGAAAGCAGAUUAAAAUGUAUAAAGCCUGCUUUUUUCAUGCAUCUCCAUUCCUCCUUUAUUCACGAUCCAGACAUUUCUGUUUAGAUGUAAUCAUCUGACACGAGAUUUGGAAGGAAUUUACAGGUCAUCUAACCCAAUGAUGAUGGAUACGAGGCAUGCAUGCCUUUAUUCCCCAGUUUCUGCUCCUGGCAGACAUUGCUGAUCCAACUCAUGUCUCUUUCCAGUUGAGUCUGAUUGAUCUUGGAAUCCUUCAACACAGGGCUCCUGGAAGCCAUUAUGGAGUAAUUAAAGUGGGAUGUAAAUGAAAAUGUUUGGCUGUCCAUUAUUUAGAUUUUAACUGGCCACACAUGUAUGAGUGGCAGAACUGGAUUUCACUUCUAGGUCUUGAUCUUCCCAGUGUGGGCAACUUUCCUAAGCACAUGGACGUUGGGAGGAUGUGGGCCAGUAAAGAGAAUCUGAGAUAGGAGGAGUCCUUUUUCUGAAUUUCCAAUGUUGGCUCUUGAUCCAUUCUGCAGUGUGGCUUCAAACAAAUCACUUUGUGUUUCUGGGCCGAUAAAGUUUCAUGUCUGUGAAGUUAGGGAUAAUUGUCUAUCUCCGAGGGCUUUUAUGAGCAUCAAAGGAGGUAGUGGAUGUGAAUGUGUCUGUCACAUUUUGAAUGUAGGUGAAUUUAUGCUGUUAUAAUAAAAUGCAGCUUCCUAGAAUUGUGAGACAGCCAUUUUUUUCCAGGUAUCUGAGAAUUAUCCUUUUAAGUGCC
ensembl:lncRNA